rnacentral:rRNA from 1 species
CCCCACUGCUAUCGGGAUGGGACUUAGACAUGUUAGUUGAACGUUUCCAAGCUAUGGUGGAAACGUGGCAUACAGCUCAGUAACACGUGGCCAACCUACCCUUGAGACAGGGACAACCCCGGGAAACUGGGGCUAAUACCUGAUAAGUGAAGAUUUCUGGAAUGAGCCUUCGCUUAAAGAAUGUUUGGGCCAUGCUCUAAACGUUGCUCAAGGACGGGGCCGCGGCCGAUCAGGUUGUUGGUGAGGUAACGGCUCACCAAGCCUUUAACCGGUACGGGCCGUGAGAGCGGGAGCCCGGAGAUGGGUACUGAGACAAGGACCCAGGCCCUACGGGGCGCAGCAGUCGCGAAAACUCCGCAAUACGCGAAAGCGUGACGGGGCUAUCCCGAGUGCCAUUCGCUGAGAAUGGCUUUUCCCUAGUGUACAAAGCUGGGGGAAUAAGAAGAGGGCAAGUCUGGUGUCAGCCGCCGCGGUAAUACCAGCUCUUCGAGUGGUGGGGAUGCUUAUUGGGCCUAAAGCAUUCGUAGCCUGUUGGGCAAGUCUUUCGUUAAAUCCAGCGAUUUAAUCGUUGACCUGCGGGAGAUACUGUCUAACUAGGGGACGGGAGAAGCCGACGGUAUUCUCGGAGUAGGGGUGAAAUCCUAUAAUUCCGGGAGGACCACCAGUGGCGAAGGCUGUUGGCUAGAACGUGCCCGACGGUGAGGGAUGAAAGCUGGGGGAGCGAACCGGAUUAGAUACCCGGGUAGUCCCUGCUGUAAACGAUGCGAGCUAGGUGUUGGGGCGGCUACGAGCCGCUUCAGUGCCGCAGCGAAGGCGUUAAGCUCGCCGCCUGGGGAGUACGGCCGCAAGGCUGAAACUUAAAGGAAUUGGCGGGGGAGCACCACAAGGCGUGAAGCUUGCGGUUC